AAAUGUAAGGGCCCCGGGGGGCCGUCUAAACAACACCCGUGAGCCCUACGGCCAGCAUGGCCGGAACGGUUUAACCCACUGUGAAAACCCUUGUUGCUUCGGCAGCGCCUCCCCUCGGGGAGGGUCAGCCUGCCGGCGGCACAACACCAAAACCCUUUUUAUGCGAAAAGCAGUUUUUAAAACGUCUGAGAGCGCAGUCGAAUGACACUUA
rnacentral:misc_RNA from 1 species